rnacentral:rRNA from 1 species
UACGGAGGGUGCAAACGUUGCUCGGAAUCAUUGGGCGUAAAGCGCAUGUAGGCGGUCGGCUAUGUCGGAUGUGAAAGCCUCGGGCUUAACCCGAGAAGUGCAUCCGAAACUGGCCGGCUUGAGUACGGAAGAGGGUCUCGGAAUUCCCGGUGUAGAGGUGAAAUGCGUAGAGAUCCGGAGGAACACCGAAGGCGAAGGCAGUGUCCUGGCUGGUGACUGACGCUGAGGUGCGAAAGCUAGGGGAGCGAACGGG